rnacentral:rRNA from 1 species
GGCGAACGCUGGCGGCAGGCUUAACACAUGCAAGUCGAGCGCCGUAGCAAUACGGAGCGGCAGACGGGUGAGUAACACGUGGGAACGUACCUUUGGUUCGGAACAACACAGGGAAACGUUGUGCUAAUACCGGAUAAGCCCUUACGGGGAAAGAUUAUCGCCGAAAGAUCGGCCCGCGUCUGAUUAGCUGUUGGUGAGGUAACGGCUCACCAAGGCGACGAUCAGUAGCUGGUCUGAGAGGAUGAUCAGCC